UAGUCAUAUGCUUGUCUCAAAGAUUAAGCCAUGCAUGUCUAAGUAUAAACAAUUCUAUACUGUGAAACUGCGAAUGGCUCAUUAAAUCAGUUAUAGUUUAUUUGAUAAUACCUACUACUUGGAUAACCGUGGUAAUUCUAGAGCUAAUACAUGCACAAAAGUCCGACUUCUGGAAGGACUGUAUUUAUUAGAUACAAAACCAAUGCGGGGCACCCGGUCUUUUGGUGAUUCAUAAUAACUUCGCGAAUCGCAUGGCCUUGUGCUGGCGAUGAUUCAUUCAAAUUUCUGCCCUAUCAACUUUCGAUGGUAAGGUAUUGGCUUACCAUGGUUACAACGGGUAACGGAGAAUUAGGGUUCGAUUCCGGAGAGGGAGCCUGAGAAACGGCUACCACUUCCAAGGAAGGCAGCAGGCGCGCAAAUUACCCAAUCCUGACACAGGGAGGUGGUGACAAAAAAUAACAAUGCAGGACUUUCUAAAAGCCUUGCAAUUGGAAUGAGAACAAUCUAAACCCCUUAUCGAGUAUCAAUUG
rnacentral:rRNA from 1 species